rnacentral:rRNA from 1 species
AGAGUUUGAUCCUGGCUCAGGAUGAACGCUAGCGACAGGCCUAACACAUGCAAGUCGAGGGGCAGCGCGGAGGUAGCAAUACUUCUGGCGGCGACCGGCGCACGGGUGAGUAACACGUAUGCAAUCUGCCUGUAACAGGGGGAUAACCCGGAGAAAUCCGGCCUAAUACCCCAUAACGACGAGAUCUCGCAUGGGGAUUCGUCUAAAGAGAGCAAUCUUGGUUACAGAUGAGCAUGCGGUCCAUUAGCCAGUUGGCGGGGUAACGGCCCACCAAAGCGACGAUGGAUAGGGGUUCUGAGAGGAAGGUCCCCCACAUUGGAACUGAGACACGGUCCAAACUCCUACGGGAGGCAGCAGUGAGGAAUAUUGGUCAAUGGUCGGCAGACUGAACCAGCCAAGUCGCGUGAAGGAAGACGGCCCUAAGGGUUGUAAACUUCUUUUGUCGGAGAGUAAAGGUCUUCACGAGUGGAGAUUUGCAAGUAUCCGAAGAAAAAGCAUCGGCUAACUCCGUGCCAGCAGCCGCGGUAAUACGGAGGAUGCGAGCGUUAUCCGGAUUUAUUGGGUUUAAAGGGUGCGUAGGCGGCAUGACAAGUCAGCGGUGAAAUGCCCGGGCUUAACCCGGGAGCUGCCGUUGAAACUGUCGAGCUAGCGUGCACAAGAGGUAGGCGGAAUGCGUGGUGUAGCGGUGAAAUGCAUAGAUAUCACGCAGAACCCCGAUUGCGAAGGCAGCCUACUAGGGUGCAACGGACGCUGAAGCACGAAAGCGUGGGUAUCGAACAGGAUUAGAUACCCUGGUAGUCCACGCAGUAAACGAUGAAUACUAACUGUUUGCGAUAUAAUGUAAGUGGUACAGCGAAAGCGUUAAGUAUUCCACCUGGGGAGUACGCCGGCAACGGUGAAACU